CAGUUAUAGUGGUGUGUGCCUGUAGUCCCAAGUACUUUGGAGGCUGAGAUGGGAAGAUUGCUACAGCCUGGAAGGUUGGGCUGCAGUGAACUGGGAUCUUGCCACUGCACUCCAGCGUAGGUCACAAAGUGAGACUGUUUCAAGGAAAAGAGAGACAGACAGACCCACAAGAGUCUUAAGCCAGAAUCUCCAUGUUAAAAUGCUUUCUGGAGGCUAAAAGGAUGAUAUGUUGAUAAUGAAAUAUUUAAAAGGCAGAAACCCCACUGAAUUCUUUGGUCCACAGAGGGAAAUGGGAAUCGCAUGACCUGAGGCAUGAUGGAGGAACUGAACAGAAACCAUCCUUGUUUCCUUAAUCUGAACAUGGCACGCUCUUUUCACGGUGCCUGUAUAUGCUCAGUCCGGCAGCCCCUUGAAAAGAGGGAAUCUGGAUUUUCAAACUUAAAAUUUGGCCCAAAGCCCACUGCUGCCCACAAUGGCCACCAGACACAUUCCUCUACCCUUUUAGUUUCUAUGGGAAUACUCUGUUUGAGGAACCCAUGAAGCAGUGUCAGGCUGGUGUGAGGACCAGCAGUGAUUUCUUUGAGGAGGAGAGCCCGUUUCUUCACUCACAGGCCAUGUCUGAGUGGAUCAAGAAGAACAGAGUGCCCUUUUAUGAGAUUUUGUCUGCGUAGACCAUUAGCUUGGUAAAAAUGUCAAAACCAUCCUUGUUCUUUAAUAGCAGAUUAUUUUGGACUUUUCUCUGCAAGAAGUAGCAUAGGCAUUCAGAUGCUUUUAAGGAUAAAAUGUUCUUUCUCAUCACCAGGCCUGGUGCUCUGGAUGGCUGAGGUUUUACUGUGACUUGGUGUCCCUUGGAGUGGCUCCCAGGCUGUGCUCUUGUGGUUGGGUGGCAAGGGGUUGCUUUAUUCGGUGGUGGCUAGAGGAUAUUUUAGCAGGUAAAUCGGGACCCCAGGAGCCCCUGAGUGCCAAGUCCUGCUGCAGGGCAUGUGUUUAUAUUGGGGAUGUGGGGGGGUGGAGGGUGGGGGACAUUGAUUUCCUGCCAAUAUCAGAAGUUUCACAGGCUUCUUGUGUAUCCACAAACACCCAUCCCAUUGAGAAGGCCUAGAAAACCUGGCCCUCGCCAAGCCUUUAUUGACCGCUUGUGAAUGAUCCCAGGGUGUGUCUGACCCACAGCUCCUCCUGGAGGGAGAGAAAAGUCUCUUCUAGGUAUUUGGUUAUCAACCUCAACCAUUUGCUGAGCCUUCCCCAAGACCAGGCAUCUUGGCAGAGAUUUCUGGGUCGUCAGGCAGAACCGAGCAUUCAAGGGUGAUAACUCACUGGAGUCCCUGAAAUCCCUGAUGGACGCACCAGGUAAAAGCAUCCAGGGUUGAAACCAGAUCAGGAAGGUUAUUGUCAGCCUGGGGUGCCUGUAGAGGUGCAUCCACGUUGCAGGUAUUUUCCCUUCUUGCUGAGGAGAAACCUGGGUUUCUCAGCUUUGGCACAGUCACAACACUUGGGGUCAGACCAUUCGUGGUGGUGGUGAGUGGGGGGCGUCCUGUGUAUUGUAGGAUGGUUAGCAGCAUCUCUGGUCUCCAUCCUCUAGGUGCCAUUCUACCCUCCCAGCUAUGGCUACCCCAGAUGUCUCCAGAUGCUUUCAAAUGCUGUGGGGCAAGGGAGUGGUACGUGAGCAAAACCACCCCAGUUGAGAGCCAUUGGUCUACACUUGUGGAAAUGUUUGAGGCUGGACUACACAGGCUGAAGCUCUCUCUGCCGAGAUAUAGAUAUUUCCCUGGUGAUGAUCUUUCAAGCUGACAUGAAGACAUGGCCACCCACUGGAACAUCGUGUGUCUGCCGUGGCGCUCUUGUAAUUUGUGAGGGAGGCUCCUGACGAAUGCAGUGCAACUCAAGGGACAGGAAGGAGAUGAGUUGGCGGCUGGGACAGGGGUCCCUGCCAGGGAUGCUGGUGACUCACAUGACGGUGUUGAUGUGUGGAGUCCGGUGCCUGGUUUGGGGAAUAUUCGUGGGAUAUGUUCCAAAGGACUGAUGGACCUACAGGUACUGGAGGUGAAUGGUCAAGUCUGACCUCAGGGCUGACAGUGUCAGGCAAGGACAGGAAGUUGACGUUGGACUCAUUGGCUGAGGUUGCUUGGGACCCAGGGGGCAACGUGUGCCAGGACAGAUGGGUCUGGGGCUAGGAAGGCAGGUUUGGGCUGGAGACUUGGGCUGGGGACGCAUCCCAGGUAGGCAGUGGUUGAGGCUGUGGAAAUGACCACGAUUGCCUGGGAUGAGAGUGGAGACAGACAAGAUGGGGGUUUUGCUCUAAGCCUGGGGAACCCACCUCCCAGGUUCAAAGGAUUCUCCUCCCUCAGCCUCCCAAGUAGCUGGGAAUGCAGGUGUGC